CGUCUAUAUACGUAUAGCAUAUCAAUAAGCGGAGGAAAAGAAACUAACUAGGAUUCCCUCAGUAACGGCGAGUGAAGCGGGAAGAGCUCAAAUUUGAAAUCUUCAAGGUUCUACCUUGACGAAUUGUAGUUUAAAGAAGUGUUUCCUGUUGGAGUUUUGGUAAAAGUUCUUUGGAAUAGGACAUCAUAGAGGGUGAGAAUCCCGUAUUUGACCAUUACUUUCCAGCGUUGUGAUACACUUUCAAAGAGUCGGAUUGUUUGGGAAUGCAGUCCAAAAUGGGUGGUAAAUUUCAUCUAAAGCUAAAUACUGGCGAGAGACCGAUAGCGAACAAGUACCGUGAGGGAAAGAUGAAAAGAACUUUGAAAAGAGAGUUAAACAGUACGUGAAAUUGUCAAAAGGGAAGCGUUUGACACCAGUGUUGUUUUCUCGAAAAUCAAUUAAAAAUGGCUGGGAUUUUGUGUUGUAUUGACUUUAUCAGCUUUCUGCACUUUUUUCUUGUCUUUUUUAAUGCACUUUUCGUUUAACAAGUCAACAUCAAUUUCUUUUGUUGUAAAAGGGUCAUUGGAAGGUGGCUUUCUUUUCGGAGAAAGUGUUUAUAGCCUUUGACUUCUGCAAUCGGAGAGAUUGAGGUCUGCAGCGUAGAUCCUUCUGGAUUAGAUUCAUUUGUGCUAAGUUAUAACCGUUUCAUAGACAACUUGUUGACUAUGAUCGAUCAUGUAGCUUACUCGCUUAUGUUAAUUUUACCUACGCUUAGGAUGUUGACGAUCAGCUGAGCGCG
rnacentral:rRNA from 1 species